rnacentral:rRNA from 1 species
GAAGAGCGCAGCCAACUGUGCGAAAUAAUUUAAACUGCAUACUGCUUUGAAUAUCGAUAUCUGGAACGCAUAUUGCGGCCAUAGGUUAGCCUGUGGUCACGCCUGUCCCAGGGUCG